UCUCGGCUCUCGCAUCGAUGAAGAACGUAGCGAAAUGCGAUACUUGGUGUGAAUUGCAGAAUCCCGUGAACCAUCGAGUCUUUGAACGCAAGUUGCGCCCGAAGCCACUAGGCUGAGGGCACGUCUGCCUGGGCGUCACACAUCAGGUCGCCCCCGCAC
rnacentral:rRNA from 1 species